GGCCAGAUAAGGCAUUUUCGCAGCAUCCGGCACUUAUUGUCGGAUGCGAUGCUUGCGCAUCUUAUCCGACC
rfam:Escherichia coli str. K-12 substr. MG1655, complete genome.